AUGUCCGCCGCCGCACCCGGCAGUCCUUGUCCUGAGACGGUGCCCGUGAGGACCCGUCCCUGGUGUUCUUCUCUCUACUGCGAGAUCCUGGCCUCCAAGAAAAGGAGGCUUGUUGCUUUUUUGGAGAAGCGAUGGAUGUACGAGGAAUUUUCGUUGCGAGAAAAGCACCUGACAUGGAACCGUAUGAGACAGCUACUACAAUGUCUUGAUCUCCCAUGGAUUUUGUUAGAUGACCUUAAUGAAAUACACUUCUUGCACGAGAAAGAAGGCGGGAAUCCAUGCCCAUCUCAGUAUAUGCAAGCCUUCAAAAGUGCUAUUGAUGAUUGCGAGCUGCACGACUUGGGGCUUAUUGGGGACACCUUCACAUGGCAUUGA
rnacentral:rRNA from 1 species